CAGCAGCCGCGGUAAUACGUAGGUGGCAAGCGUUAUCCGGAAUUAUUGGGCGUAAAGCGCGCGUAGGCGGUUUUUUAAGUCUGAUGUGAAAGCCCACGGCUCAACCGUGGAGGGUCAUUGGAAACUGGAAAACUUGAGUGCAGAAGAGGAAAGUGGAAUUCCAUGUGUAGCGGUGAAAUGCGCAGAGAUAUGGAGGAACACCAGUGGCGAAGGCGACUUUCUGGUCUGUAACUGACGCUGAUGUGCGAAAGCGUGGGGAUCAAACAGGAUUAGAUACCCCGGUAGUCCCUGUCUCUUAUAC
rnacentral:rRNA from 1 species